GGGCCCUCCCUCACCUGGUUGACAUCACGUUGUUUUCCUUCCGGUUCAGACCUCGGCGUUUGUGGCGCUGCAUGCUAACCGCAAAUUAAUGCGCUUAACGACGCUCUGAUCGCCGAUCCAUCGUCCUUGUGCAUUUCUCCCAUGAAGCUUAAUUUCUGCAAAUGAAUUUCAACUGAGCCGAUCAGCCAACAGAAGGACCUGUAAACAAAAACGUACAUUUUCUCAACUGGAACUCAGAAGUUCAAGGCCAGUGAGGUUCAGAGGAAACCAGCUGAUGUGUCUCCUGCCUGCAAAGACAGCGAGGAAUCCUGAAUGAUCCUCUGGAAACCCGAAGCUCCUGGGGGCCGUCUGCAGACGUUCUGGGCUCCAUGAGGCCCUGAAUGCAGCCAAACUGAUCCAGAGACAUCAGCAGCUGUUAAGUCUUUUAGUGAAAAUCUCAGACUGGAUGAUAAAUGAAGAUCAGAGUAGAUGUUUAGGGUUUAAGAAAAGUAGAACUCACCAUCACUGGUCACCGGGGACGGACCUGCAUCAAUAAAAAAAACAUUAGUUUCUGACCAAGUCCAUCUGAACAGGAUAACUCAGCCGAUCUGAAGGUAAAUAAGAUGUUUAAUCCACAUUUUUACCUGCUUGGAUGCAUUUUAGCUCCCAGCCUGAACUGAAACUGAUAUCAGCUUUGAACUGACAGAUUUCUGCUCAAUCAGCCUGACAGCUUUAAAACUGAACGUGAAAACUAUUGUCGGAUAUAAAGUAAAAACUUUGUAGUUGUGACUGAAGCACAGCUGCACAUCACCGAACAAGCUGACUAAAGAUGGCUGGGAAUAAUUUACUUAAACAGAAUAAAGAAGAAG